AGAAUGAACGUUGGCGGCGUGGAUUAGGCAUGCAAGUCGCGCGAUAUCUGUAGCAAUACAGUGAAAGCGGCGAAAGGGACAGUAAAGUGUGGGAACCUACCCUGAGGCUCGGGAUAGCGGCGGGAAACUGCCGGUAAUACCGAAUAAUAUCUCAGGAUCAAAGGUGUGAUUCCGCCCUGGGAUGGGCCCACAUGCUAUUAGCUAGUUGGUGAGGUAACGGCUCACCAAGGCAAAGAUGGCUAGCGGGUGUGAGAGCACGACCCGCGUCACUGGGACUGAGACACUGCCCAGACACCUACGGGUGGCUGCAGUCGAGAAUCUUCGGCAAUGGGCGCAAGCCUGACCGAGCGACGCCGCGUGCGGAUGAACGGCCCGUCGGGUUGUAAACCGCUGGUCGAAGGGAUGAAAUUCGUGGUGGUACUCCCAUCAGAUGACAGAUCCGUAGGAGGAAGGUGGACGUAAGUUCGUGCCAGCGACGCCGCGGUAAUCGUA
rnacentral:rRNA from 1 species